rnacentral:tRNA from 1 species
GAGGGUAUAGAUCAGUGGUAGAGCUUGUGCUUAGCAUGCACGAGGUUCUGGGUUCAAUCCCCGGUGCCUCCA